AGUGAACGCUGGCGGUAGGCCUAACACAUGCAAGUCGAACGGCAGCACAGUAAGAGCUUGCUCUUACGGGUGGCGAGUGGCGGACGGGUGAGGAAUACAUCGGAAUCUACUUUUUCGUGGGGGAUAACGUAGGGAAACUUACGCUAAUACCGCAUACGACCUACGGGUGAAAGCAGGGGAUCUUCGGACCUUGCGCGAUUGAAUGAGCCGAUGUCGGAUUAGCUAGUUGGCGGGGUAAAGGCCCACCAAGGCGACGAUCCGUAGCUGGUCUGAGAGGAUGGACAGGCCAAACGGGAACUGGGACCGGGUCCAGACCCCUAGGGGAGGCAGAGGUGGGAAAUAUUGACAAUGGGCGCAAGCCUGAUCCAGCCAUACCGCGUGGGUGAAGAAGGCCUUCGGGUUGUAAAGCCCUUUUGUUGGGAAAGAAAAGCAGCAGGUUAAUACCCCGCUGUUCUGACGGUACCCAAAGAAUAAGCACCGGCUAACUUCGUG
rnacentral:rRNA from 1 species